UGGGGUAUAGCUCAGUGGUAGAGCAUUUACCUAGUAUGAAUGAGGUCCUGGGUUCAACUCCUAGCACCACAC
rnacentral:tRNA from 1 species